rnacentral:rRNA from 1 species
CGUAGGGUGCGAGCGUUGUCCGGAAUUAUUGGGCGUAAAGAGCUCGUAGGCGGUUUGUCGCGUCGACUGUGAAAACCUGGGGCUUAACUCUGGGCCUGCAGUCGAUACGGGCAGACUUGAGUUCGGUAGGGGAGACUGGAAUUCCUGGUGUAGCGGUGAAAUGCGCAGAUAUCAGGAGGAACACCGGUGGCGAAGGCGGGUCUCUGGGCCGAUACUGACGCUGAGGAGCGAAAGCGUGGGGAGCGAACAGGAUUAGAUACCCUGGUAGUCCACGCUGUAAACGUUGGGCGCUAGGUGUGGGGGACAUUCACGUUCUCCGUGCCGUAGCUGACGCAUUAAGCGCCCCGCCUGGGGAGUACGGCCGCAAGGCUA